CUCGCUCACAAGCUUAUGAAUAAUUAUAUUGCAGCGAAUGCGUUACGACAGGCACUGUCAUUGUGUGAAUAAUUAAUGAUAUAGUGAUCCAAGCAUUACGUCGAGUUUGCCGUAAGCUUACCUCAUAGCCAUCAUAAGCCAGGUACGCUGACGGAAGGGUAACGUAACCACACGGAAGAGCCAAAAAGUACUAUGGAGGAAUACAAACACAAAAGAAGCAGCAGUAACAACAGAAGACAGUUUUGUCAUGUAAAUGGCCUUGGGCAAAAGUCUUUAUAACUGCAAUAACAUAAGUUAGUGGAAACAGUGUCAGGCUUUCCCAGAUGGAGACAAUAUAGUGAGAUUAUUCACCCAGUGUUUAUUCACAAGAUUGACCAAAUCUUAUUUAGAUGACCAAAUUAUGAACAAUGACCCACCCUGAGGCUGUAAGAGUGUGCCUGAUGAGAGAAUGCAUACUUGAACCAGUUAUAAGACUUAAUAUAUUCAAGAAGACCAAGCGAUCCUUAUAGGACUACAUGCAAAGCAAUGUACUCCAGGCCGCACAACUGGACAUACAAAUUGUGCCCUGAUGCCAUCUGCCCCGUUCUCCCAGCCUCAUCUUCCCUCUCUAUGCCUAGCUUUAAAUCGGUUGGCUCUUCUUUUGGCUCUCUUCAUCCCGUCUGCCUGCCUCGCUGCUCUCCCUGAUAACAUUUCCUGACUGAUGCCUUGCACUCUGACUCUUUCUGCAAGGUGCCAUUCUGAGCAGUGACUCAAUUUAGUGCCACUCUGCUGCUUGGCAUUGCACUUCUGAGGUCAUCACCAUCUUUCUUCAGCCAACCAAAAUGAUUCUCACCAACCACCCCAGCUCUGCUAAGCUUGAUGUUGGAGGUCUGCUGUUUUUGAAGCAGGGGACCACUGUCCAUUAAAGGCUUCAUAAACCAUUUAACAAAAUCACAUAAGAUAGGGUAGUUCAUACUCCAUGCGAUGUGCCAUACAAUGGAAGGGCCAUGUUCCUUAUCACAUCUGGAUGCUGCAAAGCUCCUGUCUCCUCAACAAUUUACGAACUAAUCAAUUAUUAAAUGAAGAAAUGCUAUGUAAAUGCAAAGAUAUUUCUUCCUGUGGAAUUUGAGUCUUAAAUUUAGUAAUUACUGUUUUAUGGCAUAAAUAAAAGUUAAAUAUAUUAUUUUAAAAGCAUCAUGUAUCUUUUUUCAUUCCUAAUGUAUUCUACUAGUAGUGUGUCAGGCACUUUAACCCUUAUGAAAAAAGCCAAGGAAAAUAGAGAGCAUCAUAUCAAAACAACUGUUUAUUUGCACAUGCAACAUUAAACUAUGGUAUACAUCUCUGUUUUCCUAACAAUACUGAAAAGGAUGAGUAUUUAGAGUCUACAGUACUGCUUGCUCAAUCUCCAGCAAAGAUAAAAACAUCCUAAGAAAAAGGACUCAUUCACAUAGUAUUCCUCUUUUUACAACCGCGACACAUUUUACACAGACAACACAGCAUCUGGAGGACGUAUAUGAUCCUCACCAGUGUUAUUUAUUGUUUUUUCCUGUGUGUGUCUAAUGAUAAUAAAAAAAUUAUAAUUGAUCAAUUAUACUUUGAAGGAUAAAGCAAAACUACUAUAUUUACUAUAAAGCUAUCUAAACCAAUAGCAGCUUCAUAAGACUUAAGGUGGUUAUCAAAGGAACUAACAAACAAAUAUAAUGCAUAUGGGUUGACCUGUGAAAACAUAAUGUCCUGUUUUCAUUUGUCAGUUACCAGUUAGGCUUUAGAAACAUGAUAAAGUUAAAGUGUAUUUAAAAAUAUAGUUUGAAGAAAUUUGUGAAAGUGGUCAUGAAUUUCAAGGGUUGAAUGAUUAUAGUUAACUGUUUAAAAAUAUGUAGUUGUAGCCUACUAAUGCUUUUAUAAAAUGCUCAAAAUAUAUUUUAGAUUACAUCCUGUGAUAUCCAAGCCUUCUUUGUUUCUGUGUUUUCAAAGCUCCACACCAGUAGGUGGUGGUAAAGAAAACAGUGUAGGUACGCGUUAACACGUGAUUUACGUGUUAACACGCACUUACGCGUUAACACGUAGUGCGUGUUAACACGUGAUUUACGCGUUAACACGUGGUGCGUGUUAACACGUAUUUUUAACACGUUUUUUCCCUGUUGGCCUUCCAUAAUAGGCGACGUAUGUAUCAGGCGUGUUGUAAGGCGACGUACAUAGUUCAGACGUACUUAGUACACGUAUUUUUUUAGUACAUUUCGAACAUGCGCCGUCGUCACGUCGCCGCCGGUAAACGAUUCUUCCAUGCACUCGCCGUGACGUCACCGCCGGUCUUACGUCUGCAGUCCCUAUCAAAUCCAUUCAAAACUCCACACGGACUGGCGGCGACGGAAGGUUAGGCUGCUCCUUAUCCUUCUCCAGGUUAGGCUUUGAAUUGGCAGCAUCCACUCGCCAUACUACUCCAGCCCAAAGAUUAGUGUAGCCACUAGCCGUUUCUCAAUGUCAAGGAUACUUCCUUGGCAGGACUAGUCCUUACAAGUCACUUCUUUCAGAGGCGAGGCGAGGCUCCUUUUAAGCAUUCGGAGAACACGUUAAAUGGAACAGGCUAGCAAGUGCACGUCAUUACGUCAUUACGUGAUUGAAAGGUGUGCUUUCGGUGCUGCGCGCAGAGGAUUGUGGGUGAUUUCAGCGCGUGAAGAGCGCGAAGGAUACAAAUUUGCAUCCUUUCCUGUAUAUGGGAUAUUUGUCGAACGAAGGACUCAGUCCUUGGCUGAAAUUUCGAGGAUCCUCGACAUUGGAACAGUCCUUCGACGGACGUCGAUGACGUAGCAUCCUCGAAAUUCUAGCUUCCGAGGAUCCUUCCUUGACAUUGGGAAACGGCUCUUGUGUCCGGCUUCACGUGGCUUAGCGUUAACCAGUAUGACAUCACAGUACCGCGUGAUUACGUGAUCACUCUCGCGGUACUUCAAUGUCUGCGCAUGUCUGCAUGAAGUCAACCACUCAUGCUUGUAACAGGGGUAGCGUUUGUGCGCUCAGUGAUUUAGGGUGUUACAAAACAAGAUUAUUACAUUAAUAUUAUCAAUUAGUAUUGUAAUAAACCUUUUUAAAUGUUUGUUAAUGAUUAAGUGUCAUUAACAAACUCUGAUUUAAAACAUCAAUAUAUAUAUGCUACGUAAAUUUUCCUUAAAUCAUCAAAACAUCCAAAUUCAAUGAAACAAAAACAACAACAAUCUAUUUAAGAUGAGACACAUUCAGCAUUUAUAAUUUUUUCUCUCUUUUUUGUUUGACUUUGUUUUCUACAGUAGCCUGUUAACAGUAGACCAAAGAUAUGAUGAUCAAUUAUAAAUGCAAUAUGGUUGAAAGCUUGACAAAAAUGUAGCUUGAAGGAGAAAGUCCUGGUACGCAGACGAUGAUACUAUUACACUGACAAGAGUGUAAUGAUGAUGGAGACACAAGCCAGAGAAAGGGGGGACCAAACACCAGGCCAGAAUUCUGCAUGAGUCAGAUCCAGUGGGUGCAGAUCAUCAUACAGAUGGUUCAAGUGUGGAUCCACCUAAUAUUCAAGCUCCAGUGGGCAUCCUUUAUCCAUCCAGACCCUCAUACAGAUGGUUGGAGUUUUGAUUCACCUAAAGUACCAUGCAAGAGCACUCAUUUUCCCUCUUGAGACCAUGGUGUGACCUGCAAGGUCGAAUGGAGACUGUAAACGAGACAAUCUUGGAGUCACCUGCAUUCACUGGUCCAGUUGUUAGUCCAAUUACAGAUGGAGAUUAUAGAAGAGGAUGAUGUCUUUUCUCCAACAUCUUUCUAGACUGAUAAAAGAUCUAGACAGGCUCAAACAAAAGUUAACAGAGGGGCUUAUAUAGAGAAUGGUGAGCAGCUACACAUAAAAGAAGAACAUGGAGAAUCUACCCAGAGGUGUUAACCAGCAAUGCAGCUAUACAACUAAAUUGAUGCAGGCGGAAACAAUGUGUAAUGCAGCUGCUGCAGAUGAAGAAUCCGUCCGUCUAGCACUGAAGGAGACGCGGAAAAUCGGGAAAAGAUGUUCUUUGCCCGAGGAAGCAUUUGAUUAAUUUAAAGAUAUUGUGUUUCUUUGUAUGUUAUAGGAAAACG